AGCGAACGUUAGCGGCGCGCCUAACACAUGCAAGUCGAGCGUUAAAGGGUCUUCGGACCUGAGUAAAGCGGCGCACGGGUGCGUAACACGUAGGUAACCUGCCCUCGGGAAGGGGAUAACGUUCCGAAAGGAGCGCUAAUACCGUAUAAAUGCGGCAUUUGGUUCGCCAAGUGUCGACAAAGGUGGGGAUUCAGCAAUGGACCUACCGCCUGAGGAGGGGCCUGCGGCCCAUCAGCUUGUUGGUGAGGUAAUGGCUCACCAAGGCGAAGACGGGUAGCUGGUCUGAGAGGAUGAUCAGCCACACUGGUACUGGAACACGGACCAG
rnacentral:rRNA from 1 species